rnacentral:rRNA from 1 species
GGGGAAUAUUGCGCAAUGGGCGAAAGCCUGACGCAGCGACGCCGCGUGAGGGAUGAAGGUUUUCGGAUCGUAAACCUCUGUCAGAAGGGAAGAAACCGCACCGUGCUAACCACCGUGCAUUUAACGGACCUUUCAAAGAAGCACCGGGCAAACUCGGGCCAGCAGCCGCGGUAAUACGGAGGGUGCAAGCGUUAAUCGGAAUUACUGGGCGUAAAGCGCACGUAGGCUGCUUUGUAAGUCAGGGGUGAAAUCCCACGGCUCAACCGUGGAACUGCCUUUGAUACUGCUUAGCUUGAAUCCGGGAGAGGGUGGCGGAAUUCCAGGUGUAGGAGUGAAAUCCGUAGAUAUCUGGAGGAACAUCAGUGGCGAAGGCGGCCACCUGGACCGGUAUUGACGCUGAGGUGCGAAAGCGUGGGGAGCAAACA